GUAAUACUGCAAAAGAACAGAAUGUAAAAUAUUUCCAGGGUAGAAACAACCUGACUUUUUACAUAGUAGCACUUCUAUAAAGCCUGUGCUGCCACUGAUGCAACAAAGACUGCAUUAAACGUAAGAUUUUGUUCAUGUGGAGUUCUGCACUCACAAUGUUGCCUAGGCUUGCUAGCAGUUUUAUGUAGUUUGAAUGUUUAUGCAGAUGAUUCAAAGAACAAAAGGGGGAAAAGUGAGUUGCUACAAGCACCCCGGCCAAGGGGAGUUAGAGGGAAGUCCUGUGGCCUAGAGGAGGAAAUUGUUUAGAGGCUACAAGAAAGAAUGAUCCAUAAAAGCUAUUCACCUAAAUUGGGUAUGGUACUCUGCUGGAAAAAGCUACUGGAGCUGUAUCAGUUUGGGAUGCUGAUAUGGAUGGUGAUUCAUGGUGGAAGCCUCUGCAGUGUGCUCUGAAGCACCAGCUAGAGAAGCCAGUUCCUUCAGUGACAGCAAAAAAGGCCUCAGGAUUUUGCCUUCCUCCCCUGAGUUGGUCUAUGUGAAUAUUUAAGUUUUCAUUUAGCUCUUUUUAACCCUUUCUGAAGAUCUCUUAUACAACAUGUUCUUAAAAUUUGAAUCUUACAUCUUUUAACCUCAAGACAAUUUUUCUUGUCUAUUCUUAUUGUUAUAUUGGUUAUAGCAUAAGAAAUGUGACUGGACAGAGCCAGUGUCCCAGGGUCUUUGCUUUAGCAUUGGCUAAGGGAGAUGCUUAGGGAACAGUAUAGGAACAGAGAACCCUCAGGGUGAUUCACUGCAUGAAGGCAUACACUUCCACUGAUAAGUGCUUUAGAAACUUGUGGAGCCAGACUGUGCACCCAGACCCAACAGUAGCUUGAAAUCAAAGGGCACCUUCUCCAUGAAUUUGUCCUAUUUUGAAUUCAGUUGUACUCCUGGCUACCAUACUGUUUGAUGGCAGUAAGUUCCACACUUUAAUACUGUGUUGCUGAUGGACCCCAGCUGGAAUGGAUACAGGAGGCUGAAGAUUCCUCAUCUCCAAGGCUCUUGGGAUCCUCAGUUUUAUUGGUAGCCUGUGUGUGUUGAGGUGGUGUAAGUGGUUAACCAUGAAGACACUGACCUUUCAUGUAUGCCAGGAGGUGCGGGGAUCCAGGAAGGAAAGCGAUCAUAUGGCCAAAUGCAGGAUGGCUGGUGGGAAUAUAGACAAGUGAAAUGGAAAUUCCCAGAGCUGAGGAGAAAUCAGAACUCAAACAGGUCCUGCUGUGCCAAGUAACUAUGGCCACUGGCUUUCUGGCUGCCCUGCACAGGGUGGGACUGGGGGGGAUUCCCUCACCCCUUCCCAUGGAGGUAUAGUUGAAUUCAGCACCACUGUGGGCUCCAGCCCCUCAUCAGGACAUUGACUGCCUUGCAUUGCAUUGCCAGAGAGACCUCAGCAAUGUGGAAAACCAACCCAAACCAUCAUCAUAUUACCAG